rnacentral:rRNA from 1 species
UACAGAGGUCUCAAGCGUUGUUCGGAUUCAUUGGGCGUAAAGGGUGCGUAGGCGGCGCGGUAAGUCGGGUGUGAAAUCUCGGAGCUUAACUCCGAAACUGCCAUGGAUACUAUCUGUCUUGAAUAUUGUGGAGGUAAGCGGAAUAUGUCAUGUAGCGGUGAAAUGCUUAGAUAUGACAUAGAACACCAAUUGCGAAGGCAGCUUGCUACACAGUUAUUGACGCUGAGGCACGAAAGCGUGGGGAUCAAACAGG